rnacentral:rRNA from 1 species
CUGCGGAAGGAUCAUUGUCGAAUCCUGGCCCCGGAAAGACCGAGAACAAGUUACCAAAAACCCGGGGCGUGUGCAGGCGCGGGGAAACCUCGCCCGUCGGCUCCUGCACACAACCUAACUCCCGGCGCGGGAUGCGCCAAGGACUACUGAAACGGAUUGCCGUGUGCCCGGUGGCCCAAGCCGGUCGUAUGCAGCGUCUGGUCGUUCUAACCGAAACGACUCUCGGCAACGGAUAUCUAGGCUCUCGCAUUGAUGAAGAACGUAGCGAAAUGCGUUACUUGGUGUGAAUUGCAGAAUCCCGUGAAUCAUCGAGUUUUUGAACGCAAGUUGCGCCCGAAGCCAACAGGCUGAGGACACGUCUGCCUGGGCGUCACGCAUCGUGUCGCCACCGCCCCUCACCCGCACGUUCCGUUGCGUGCUCGGGCGGGGGUGACGGAUGUUGGCCUCCCGUGCCCCCCGCGGCACGGCCGGCCUAAAUGUGAGCCCCCGACGCGGGACGUCACGGCAACUGGUGGUUGAACUCCUCAAUCGUGUGCUGCCGAGACGACCCUCGACGGGAACUAAACGACCCCAGAGCUCGUCACGGGCCUCAGACUGUGACCCCAGGUCAGGCGGGAUUAC